rnacentral:rRNA from 1 species
UACGAAGGGGGCUAGCGUUGCUCGGAAUCACUGGGCGUAAAGCGCACGUAGGCGGAUUGCUAAGUCAGGGGUGAAAUCCUGGAGCUCAACUCCAGAACUGCCCUUGAUACUGACGAUCUCGAGUCCGGGAGAGGUGAGUGGAACUCCGAGUGUAGAGGUGAAAUUCGUAGAUAUUCGGAAGAACACCAGUGGCAAAGGCGGCUCACUGGCCCGGUACUGACGCUGAGGUGCGAAAGCGUGGGGAGCAAACAGG